GACGAACGCUGGCGGCGUGCUUAACACAUGCAAGUCGAACGGAAAGGCCCUGCUUUUGUGGGGUGCUCGAGUGGCGAACGGGUGAGUAACACGUGAGUAACCUGCCCUUGACUUUGGGAUAACUUCAGGAAACUGGGGCUAAUACCGGAUAGGAGCUCCUGCUGCAUGGUGGGGGUUGGAAAGUUUCGGCGGUUGGGGAUGGACUCGCGGCUUAUCAGCUUGUUGGUGGGGUAGUGGCUUACCAAGGCUUUGACGGGUAGCCGGCCUGAGAGGGUGACCGGGUAGGAGGGGACUGAGACACGGCCCAGACCGCGACGGGAGGCAGCAGGGGGGAGUAUGGGAGACGGGGCGAAAGAAUGAUCAAGCACUGCGGGGGGAGGGAUGAAGGGCUUAGGGUUGUAAAGCGCGUGUACCCGGGAGGAGAAUGACGGGAACGGGAGAAUAAGCUCCGGCUAACUCCGUG
rnacentral:rRNA from 1 species